rnacentral:rRNA from 1 species
AUUGAACGCUGGCGGCAGGCCUAACACAUGCAAGUCGAGCGAGCGGCGGACGGGUGAGUAAUGUAUGGGGACUGCCCGAUAGAGGGGGAUAACUACUGGAAACGGUAGCUAAUACCGCAUACUAUCGGAUAACCCAUAUGGGAUUAGCUAGUAGGUGAGGUAAUGGCUCACAUAGGCGACGAUCCCUAGCUGGCCUGAGAGGAUGAUCAGCCACACUGGGACUGAGACACGGCCCAGACUCCUACGGAGGCAGCAGUGGGGAAUCUUGCACAAUGGGCGUAAGCCUGAUGCAGCAAUGCCGCGUGUAUGAAGAAGGCCGUAGGGUUGUAAAGUACUGUCAGUAGGGAGGCGUUACCGACAGAGGAAGCACCGGCUAACUCCGUGCCAGCAGCCGCGGUAAUUC